GAUGAACGCUGGCGGCGUGCUUAACACAUGCAAGUCGAACGAUGAAAGCGGGAGCUUGCUCCUGCUGGAUUAGUGGCGAACGGGUGAGUAACACGUGAGCAAUCUGCCCCGAACUCUGGGAUAAGCGUUGGAAACGACGUCUAAUACCGGAUACGACGCGCGAAGGCAUCUUCUGCGCGUGGAAAGAACUUCGGUUCGGGAUGAGCUCGCGGCCUAUCAGCUAGUUGGUGAGGUAACGGCCCGCCAAGGCGACGACGGGUAGCCGGCCUGAGAGGGUGACCGGCCACACUGGGACUGAGACACGGCCCAGACUCCUACGGGAGGCAGCAGUGGGGAAUAUUGGACAAUGGGCGAAAGCCUGAUCCAGCAACGCCGCGUGAGGGAUGACGGCCUUCGGGUUGUAAACCUCUUUCAGCAGGGACGAAGCGAGAGUGACGGUACCUGCAGAAGAAGGACCGGCCAACUACGUGCCAGCAGCCGCAGUAACAC
rnacentral:rRNA from 1 species